rnacentral:rRNA from 1 species
UGGGGAAUAUUGGACAAUGGGCGCAAGCCUGAUCCAGCCAUGCCGCGUGAGUGAUGAAGGCCCUAGGGUUGUAAAGCUCUUUCACCGGUGAAGAUAAUGACGGUAACCGGAGAAGAAGCCCCGGCUAACUUCGUGCCAGCAGCCGCGGUAAUACGAAGGGGGCUAGCGUUGUUCGGAUUUACUGGGCGUAAAGCGCACGUAGGCGGACUAUUAAGUCAGGGGUGAAAUCCCGGGGCUCAACCCCGGAACUGCCUUUGAUACUGGUAGUCUUGAGUUCGAGAGAGGUGAGUGGAAUUCCGAGUGUAGAGGUGAAAUUCGUAGAUAUUCGGAGGAACACCAGUGGCGAAGGCGGCUCACUGGCUCGACACUGACGCUGAGGUGCGAAAGCGUGGGGAGCAAACAGG